rnacentral:rRNA from 1 species
CCUACGGGGGGCAGCAGUGGGGAAUAUUGCACAAUGGGCGCAAGCCUGAUGCAGCCAUGCCGCGUGUGUGAAGAAGGCCUUCGGGUUGUAAAGCACUUUCAGCGGGGAGGAAGGCGGUGAGGUUAAUAACCUCAUCGAUUGACGUUACCCGCAGAAGAAGCACCGGCUGAACUCCGUGCCAGCAGCCGCGGUAAUACGGAGGGUGCAAGCGUUAAUCGGAAUUACUGGGCGUAAAGCGCACGCAGGCGGUCUGUCAAGUCGGAUGUGAAAUCCCCGGGCUCAACCUGGGAACUGCAUUCGAAACUGGCAGGCUAGAGUCUUGUAGAGGGGGGUAGAAUUCCAGGUGUAGCGGUGAAAUGCGUAGAGAUCUGGAGGAAUACCGGUGGCGAAGGCGGCCCCCUGGACAAAGACUGACGCUCAGGUGCGAAAGCGUGGGGAGCAAACAGGAUUAGAUACCCCAGUAGUC